ACUGCUUGCUAAGGCACUCGAGCACUGCUUGCUGCAGCACAUGCUUUGCUUUCAUUUGCAGAAUUAUGUACUUUGUAAAUAAGUUGUAUUUUGUUGAUCCUUGUUGAUCCUUGCAAUAAGUGUUAUAUCCUAUUCAAUAAUAGCAUAUAAGAGCACAAUUAAAUGUAUCGCAGAUUUGCACUGCUGUUGUGUUAGCAGUCAGUUAACAAGUGAACUCGCAGAGCACAAAGCAUGCUCUGCAUAUAAUCAGCUUAAAAUAUCAGCGAACAAACAAUUUCAAUCAAAUUGAAAUCAAACGCUGCAGGAGGACGCCUCCAAUCCUCACCUCCUCCAAUUCUCGCAUCCUUCCGAAUCCCCCGUCAUUACCCGCAGUUAUGUUCCAGAUUUACCUUGCUACGUGCAGCGCCACGUUGAUUGCUCAUAUGUGUGCGAUGCGCAGGCGAUGGUGAAGGCGAUGGCGAAGGCGAAGGCGAUGGAGGUGAAAGAAUAAUAAAGGCGCAGUCAGCCAGUUUUCCAGGUUGGCCCGAGCCGAGUCAAGCAGUCGAGCGCGAAAUAAGCUUUGUCUGAUGGACUGAGGUAAGUGAACAGUGGAGCAGAUCCGCCAGGUGGAGAUGAUGCCACAUGACACGCGGUGGAGCUGCCAGCAGCAAUAGCACGACAGAUUGAUGAUCAAAAAUAAAUGGAAGCCACUGUUUCUAGAAAUUUCUAUAACUUAAA